rnacentral:tRNA from 1 species
UCGAAGACGCCAAGCGGUAAGGCACCGGUUUUUGAUACCGGCAUUCCCUGGUUCGAAUCCAGGUACCCCAGCCA